UACGUAGGGCGCAAGCGUUAUCCGGAAUUAUUGGGCGUAAAGAGCUCGUAGGCGGUCUGUCGCGUCUGCUGUGAAAACUCAGGGCUUAACCCUGAGCUUGCAGUGGGUACGGGCAGACUAGAGUGCGGUAGGGGAGACUGGAAUUCCUGGUGUAGCGGUGAAAUGCGCAGAUAUCAGGAGGAACACCGGUGGCGAAGGCGGGUCUCUGGGCCGAUACUGACGCUGAGGAGCGAAAGCGUGGGGAGCGAACAGG
rnacentral:rRNA from 1 species